rnacentral:lncRNA from 1 species
GUUUGGUGAUACUAGUGCUUUCUAGUGUUUGAGUUGUUCGGGAGUCGUUAUAAGUCAGAUUACCUCAUUGUAACGCAGGUGUCCCCUGCUUUCCUUAUUUCCUUUUUUCUUGUAUGAACUUUGGCUUUCUUAAUAAAGCUGGGCGUCUAUCCUGAGUGUGAGCAUUCAUAGUUGUGAACUUGUGAUACUAUUGUUUAACUUGCUGCAAAGACUACUUUGACUUGCAAUUGGUUCAUAAAAUGGUCUGGUGCUUUA